UGGGGAAUAUUGCACAAUGGACGGAAGUCUGAUGCAGCAACGCCGCGUGCGGGAUGACGGCCUUCGGGUUGUAAACCGCUUUUUCUCAUGACGAAGUUUUUUGACGGUAGUGGGGGAAGAAGCACCGGCUAACUACGUGCCAGCAGCCGCGGUGAUACGUAGGGUGCGAGCGUUGUCCGGAAUUAUUGGGCGUAAAGAGCUUGUAGGCGGUUUGUCGCGUCGAUAGUGCAAACUCAGUGCUUAACGCUGAGCCUGCUGUUGAUACGGGCAGGCUAGAGGAAGGUAGGGGAGAAUGGAAUUCCCGGUGGAGCGGUGGAAUGCGCAGAUAUCGGGAGGAACACCGGUGGCGAAGGCGGUUCUCUGGGCCUUUCCUGACGCUGAGAAGCGAAAGCGUGGGGAGCGAACAGG
rnacentral:rRNA from 1 species